UGGGGUGGUAGUUCAGCACGGUUAGAACGCUUGCCUGUCACGCAAGAGGCCGCGGGUUCAAGUCCCGUCCACCCCGUAAA
rnacentral:tRNA from 1 species